rnacentral:rRNA from 1 species
GCCUAGACAUGCAAGUCGAGCGGCAAGGCAGCAAUGCCCUAGAGCGGCGCACGGGUGCGUAACGCGUAUGCAACCUGCCUCUAACAGGGGGAUAGCCCGUUGAAAGACGGAUUAAUACCCCAUAGUAUAAUUGGGUGGCAUCACUUAAUUAUUAAAGCUCCGGCGGUUAGAGAUGGGCAUGCGUGACAUUAGCUGGUUGGUAAGGUAACGGCUUACCAAGGCUACGAUGUCUAGGGGUUCUGAGAGGAUGAUCCCCCACACUGGUACUGAGACACGGACCAGACUCCUACGGGAGGCAGCAGUGAGGAAUAUUGGUCAAUGGGCGCAAGCCUGAACCAGCCAUCCCGCGUGAAGGAAGAAUGUCCUAUGGAUUGUAAACUUCUUUUGUACACCAAGAAUUGGUCCUACGUGUAGGGCUUUGACGGUAGUGUAUGAAUAAGCAUCGGCUAACUCCGUGCCAGCAGCCGCGGUAAUACGGAGGAUGCAAGCGUUAUCCGGAUUCAUUGGGUUUAAAGGGUACGUAGGUGGCCUGAUAAGUCAGUGGUGAAAGUUUUCGGCUUAACCGGAAAAUUGCCAUUGAUACCGUCGGGCUUGAGUACAGUUGAGGUAGGCGGAAUGUGUAGUGUAGCGGUGAAAUGCUUAGAUAUUACACAGAACUCCGAUUGCGAAGGCAGCUUACUAAGUUGUUACUGACACUGAGGUACGAAAGCGUGG